rnacentral:lncRNA from 10 species
GUCAGAUAAGCAUCCUUUAAAAAAAAGAAAAAAGAAAAGAAAGAAAAGAAAUCCAUCUAGUUUCUGACGAAUUAACAGGUGUACACCACACUCUAGGAUUAUCACCACGAGGUGUAUAAGAUCCCAGAAUUCAGCAACGAUGUUAAUGGGGAGGCCAAAGAGACACAGCCCAUUUUUUUAGCUUUCAUGUAACCGCCUUCCCUUGAGCCAACCGGCUUCCUAAACCAGGACUUC